rnacentral:rRNA from 1 species
UACAGAGGUCUCAAGCGUUGUUCGGAUUCAUUGGGCGUAAAGGGUGCGUAGGCGGCGCGGUAAGUCGGGUGUGAAAUCUCGGAGCUUAACUUCGAAACUGCAUCGAUACUGCCGUGCUUGAGGACUGGAGAGGAGACUGGAAUUUACGGUGUAGCGGUGAAAUGCGUAGAUAUCGUAAGGAAGACCAGUGGCGAAGGCGGGUCUCUGGACAGUUCCUGACGCUGAGGCACGAAGGCCAGGGGAGCAAACGGG